UUUGCUUCUUGACCUUUUGGCAAAGAUCAAGUGUAGCAUAUGUUUUUAUCAGUUUAAUAUCUGUUAUGUCUUCAACUGGAGGAUUUUUUAUUAAAUGAGUUUGGGGACUGGGAAUUUAC